rnacentral:rRNA from 1 species
UUUUAUGGCGGAAUUGUAGCUGGCCCCAAUCGGGCAUGUGACAUUCUGUUCAUUCCAUUCUCAUACACCUCUGUGCACUUUUCAUAGGUUUGGUAUAGAAGAAGGUUCUCUACGGACUUUUGGACAUGCUGACUUAUGCUUUUACAAACGCUUCAGUUUUAGAAUGUCAUCUGCGUAUAACGCAACAAAUACAACUUUCAGCAACGGAUCUCUUGGCUCUCGCAUCGAUGAAGAACGCAGCGAAAUGCGAUAAGUAAGGUGAAUUGCAAAGUUCAGUGAAUGAUGAAUCUUUGAACGCAUCUUGCGCCCCUUGGUAUUCCGAGGGGCAUGCCUGUUUGAGUGUCAUGGUAAUCUCAAUACCCCAAAUCUUUGCGGAUGAGGGUGUGUUGGACUUGGAGGUUUUUGCAGGCGAUAAUUUUAUUAUUAUUACCAGCUCCUCUUAAAUGCAUUAGCAGAGAUAAUACUGCUACUCUCCAGUGUGAUAAUUGUCUACACUGUUAGUAGUGCGGUAUAACUAAAGUCUAUGCUUCUAAUCGCUUCGGACAACUUUUGACAAUCUGACCUCAAAUCAGGUAGGACUACCCGCUGAACUUAAGCAUAUCAAUAAGCGGAGGAAAAGAAACUAACAAGGAUUCCCCUAGUAACUGCGAGUGAAGCGGGAAAAAGCUCAAAUUUAAAAUCUGGCAGCCUUUGGUUGUCCGAGUUGUAGUCUGGAGAAGCGUUUUCCGGCCGGACCGGUAUAAGUCCCUUUG